GGCCGGCUGGCGCAAUGGUAGCGCGUCAGACUUCUACCUUCUCUUCAAGAGUUGUGGUGAUCUGAAGGCUGCGGGUUCGAGCCCCGCGUUGGUCA
rnacentral:tRNA from 1 species